rnacentral:rRNA from 1 species
GUGGGGAGAGCAAAUGGGAUUAGAUACCCUAGUAGUCUUAGCCGUAAACGAUGGUUACUAGGCGUUGUGCAUAUCGACUCGUGCAGUGCUGUAGCUAACGAGUUAAGUAUCUACCU